GCGGGUGUUGCUGCUGCGAGUCUAUGAGGGCCCGUGUGGCUUGCUUCUCGCGGGAAGGUCUGAGGCGUUGCGUGCGUGCUCGCGCUCGUGUUUACCGCCUCACUGGCGGUGUCUCCAAUUGAGGCGGAGGGUAACAGAAAUCCUGUCUCGUGACCCAUGUACCCAAGGAAACCCCUCGCGGGUCGAGGGUGGGUCGCGAGUCAAUGAGAUCGAGCCCUCAGCAAGCGCGUGUAGCGAGAUCAGCAGUCCAACUCAAUUCAGACUACUCCCGC
rnacentral:RNase_P_RNA from 1 species